GAGUUUGAAAAACUAGAAAGGAAGAGGACACGGAAGGCUUUCAAGAACGAUUAGAGAGAUCCUCUUAUCCUAGAGGGCAGGAAGGCGGGAUGAAGCUCUGCAAUAGAAAGUGAGGAAGAAUAAAAAAGAAUGCAGAUGUCUCCGGCUGCCAUUUCACUGGAAGACCAUUGCCAAGCUGACUGCUCGAAUUUGUUGGCUGCGAUCAUCUAUCAUUUUUCAUUUGCCCCAAAGGCGGAUUCCUGCGAACUGGAGAUCGACCGUGUUAAGAAGGGUCCUGGGAGGCUCCUAAUUAGAGGAAGCGAGUAUGUGGCACUGGAGGAUGGAUUUGGAACUUCAGGCUUGGGUUCCUAGAUACCUAGAUACCUCUGGAAGGUGUCCUCCGCCUAGUGGUGGUGAAAGAUUUCCAAGCGCUUUCACCUCCAGGUUUGGAAAUGUCCCAGAUCUUAGACUUCCGGGGACUAGACCAGGGAUGAAUGACUGGAGAGGGGCGCCGACAUCCGUAGGGAGGGGGGCCUCUCUGAGUUCUGCUUUACUGAACCCGUCCCUGCUCCCCGAGUAGGGGACUGCGCAGACUGUGCCUACUUAUGGGGGACCGUUGAGUGCAGAGCUUGGUGGGGCACGAGAACGGGGUGGCGGGGGCGGGGCACGAGAACGGGGUGGCGGGGGCGGGGCACGAGAACGGGGUGGCGGGGGCGGGGCACGAGAACG
rnacentral:lncRNA from 1 species